AAGAAGAUCGUCGCAGAUCUCAGAGGCUAUGACGAUUCGACAAUUUUUUUUGCUGGAACAACUGUAAGUAUAAGGUUUUAUAAUAGUUGUGUUUUGUCUAUAGAGUGGGCUGGUAUGCUUAUGGAAGUACGGAGCUUUCGAUGCUUCCAAGUUGUUUUCGAUGUUCGGACUUUCGAAUCGACAAUCGGCUCUGUUAGACUUGAUCUAGAGUAUUUGAAGUAUCUAGAAAAUAAAUUUUGUGAUUUUUCGAUAUCAUUUGCCUAUUCGAUAUCAUUUGCCUAGUGAUCGAAGGGGCUCAAAAUUAAUAAUUUUAACGGCCGUGGUGAGCCGGUUGCAAGUUUAACGGUGUAAAAAUAUCCAAAUCACAUGAGUUUCGAAUCGAUGAUCGGCUCCGUUAGAGUUGAUCUAGAGUAUUUGAAGUAUCUAGAAAAUAAAUUUUGUAAUUUUUCGAUAUCAUUUGCCUAGUGAUCGAAGGGGCUCAAAAUCAAUAAUUUUAACGGCCGUGGUGAGCCGGUUGCAAGUUUAACGGUAUAGAAAUAUCUAAAUCACAUAAAAUUUUGAUAGAAAAUUCUUCAUACCAUAUAAAACAAGAUCAAUAACUUUGAUCUAAAAUUUUAAUGUCAUAUCAUCAUAUUUUGUAAGAUUUUUAUUUUCAGCCGUUGAUUUUGAGCCACUUCGAUCACUAGGCAAAUGAUAUCGAAAAAUCACAAAAUUUAUUUUCUAGAUACUUCAAAUACUCUAGAUCAAGUCUAACAGAGCCGAUUGUCGAUUCGAAAGUCCGAACAUCGAAAACAACUUGGAAGCAUCGAAAGCUCCGUACUUCCAUAAGCAUACCAGCCCACUCUAUAGACAAAACACAACUAUUAUAAAACCUUAUACUUACAGUUGUUCCAGCAAAAAAAAUUGUCGAAUCGUCAUAGCCUCUGAGAUCUGCGACGAUCUUCUUG
rnacentral:lncRNA from 1 species